UAUAAGGGAUUUUGAGUUCUUACUUGCGUUAUUUGACCACUCGUCUUAUUCAAAAAUUUUUUGAAAUUAUUAUUAUUAUUGUUGUGACUUACUUUAUUAUCCAAAGUACUUUAAGCAUAACUUUUCUUUUUUAUAUUUGCACAAAUUUUUUAAAUAAGACGAGUGGUCAAACAGUACAAACAAAAACUCAAAAUCUCUUAUA
rfam:Oryza sativa (indica cultivar-group) chromosome 8, whole genome shotgun sequence.